UACGUAGGGUGCGAGCGUUAAUCGGAAUUACUGGGCGUAAAGCGUGCGCAGGCGGUUCGUUGUGUCGGCGGUGAAAGCCCCGGGCUCAACCUGGGAAUGGCCGUUGAAACUGGCGAACUGGAGUGUGGCAGAGGGGGGGUGGAAUUCCGCGUGUAGCAGUGAAAUGCGUAGAGAUGCGGAGGAACACCGAUGGCGAAGGCAGCCCCCCUGGGAUAACACUGACGCUCAUGCACGAAAGCGUGGGGAGCAAACAGG
rnacentral:rRNA from 1 species